GCCUUCACAUGCAGUCGAGCGAUGAAGUUCCUUCGGGAAUGGAUUCGCGGCGGACGGGUGAGUAACACGUGGGUAACCUGCCUCAAAGUGGGGGAUAGCCCUCCGAAAGGAGGAUUAAUACCGCAUAAAGUUAAGCUUCCGCAUGGGGGCAUAACCAAAGGAGUAAUCCGCUUUGAGAUGGACCCGCGGUGCAUUAGCUAGUUGGUGAGGUAACGGCUCACCAAGGCCACGAUGCAUAGCCGACCUGAGAGGGUGAUCGGCCACAUUGGAACUGAGAUACGGUCCAGACUCCUACGGGAGGCAGCAGUGGGGAAUAUUGCGCAAUGGGGGAAACCCUGACGCAGCAACGCCGCGUGGGUGAUGAAGGUCUUCGGAUUGUAAAACCCUGUCUUCUGGGACGAUAAUGACGGUACCAGAGGAGGAAGCCACGGCUAACUACGUGCCAGCAGCCGCGGUAAUACGUAGGUGGCGAGCGUUGUCCGGAUUUACUGGGCGUAAAGGAUGCGUAGGCGGAUAUUUAAGUCAGAUGUGAAAUACCCGAGCUUAACUUGGGUGCUGCAUUUGAAACUGGGUAUCUAGAGUGCAGGAGAGGUAAGUGGAAUUCCUAGUGUAGCGGUGAAAUGCGUAGAGAUUAGGAAGAACACCAGUGGCGAAGGCGACUUACUGGACUGUAACUGACGCUGAGGCAUGAAAGCGUGGGUAGCAAACAGGAUUAGAUACCCUGGUAGUCCACGCCGUAAA
rnacentral:rRNA from 1 species